rnacentral:rRNA from 1 species
GAUGGACGCUGGCGGCGUGCCUAAUACAUGCAAGUCGAGCGAACAGACGAGGAGCUUGCUCCUCUGACGUUAGCGGCGGACGGGUGAGUAACACGUGGAUAACCUACCUAUAAGACUGGGAUAACUUCGGGAAACCGGAGCUAAUACCGGAUAAUAUAUUGAACCGCAUGGUUCAAUAGUGAAAGACGGUUUUGCUGUCACUUAUAGAUGGAUCCGCGCCGCAUUAGCUAGUUGGUAAGGUAACGGCUUACCAAGGCAACGAUGCGUAGCCGACCUGAGAGGGUGAUCGGCCACACUGGAACUGAGCCACGGUCCAGACUCCUACGGGAGGCAGCAGUAGGGAAUCUUCCGCAAUGGGCGAAAGCUUGACGGAGCAACGCCGCGUGAGUGAUGAAGGUCUUCGGAUCGUAAAACUCUGUUAUUAGGGAAGAACAAAUGUGUAAGUAACUAUGCACGUCUUGACGGUACCUAAUCAGAAAGCCACGGCUAACUACGUG